GAGGAGUUGCUGAUGAAGGCGCGGCGGAUGAGGUUCGCUGAGAGCCUGCUGCUGCAGGACGAGAGCCGAGCGGCCGAGAGCCCAACGAGGACCCUGCGAGAGGCGGCCCUCAGGUUCAUGGCUCUUCUCUUCAAGCCCUCAGGGAAGACAAGAGUCCAUCCUGCAUGAACACAUGGAUACAGAUGAAAUUCAAAGGAAGAUCUGCAGAACUUCGUUUGUCUCCUGCAGCAGAUGUACCUGUACCGGCCUCCUUCGAUGAUUUCCAGUUCCCAUCGAAGAUGGGACCGCCUGCAGAGCAGGGUGGACCAGCUGGAGCUCCAGGCACAGCUCUGGCUGCUCAGAGUGAGCCUGUGGAAAGCUCCAGCAGCUCCUGCCAUCUCUCUCCCUGUUGGCAGCUCCCUCCCUGCAGCCCUCAGGCCCUGCCCAUCCCCUUUUCUGCCUCCCAGCUCACCCCUUACCUUCGCUUUCCCUUAAUAAACUGUUUGGGUUUGCUUUACCCGUGUCUCUGUGGAGCUGAAGCAGCGCAAAACCUGAGCCCGGGGACACGCAGGGCCCUGCUGCCCUUGUCUUCCGUGCUGUGUUCCGGGCACGGACAGAGAGAAAAAGAAUAAAAUGGGAUUGGACUUCUUCUCAGGAAGAAGCAUUGCAAUUGCUGAUUCUUGAAGUGACAGCUCACCAAGCACUGGACCCUAUCCAUCUUAGAGAUCCCUUUCAGGUGGAGUGGGGAUUUGCCUCCUCACUGCCUUCAGUACACAUUUGGCAGCAGGGUCCUGAGGGUCUGACAAAGCCUGUUGGUUUUUAUUCCUGUGGUUUCAAAGAUGCUGAGGAAAGGUACACUACCUGGGAAGGCGGGGUGUUUGUGGUUACCUGUUACAUCUGCUCCCUAUUGUAUCUGUUUCCCCCCCCCACCCUCACAAUUUUCAGUAAUAAAAACCUCUGAGUUAGCUGGAGCCUUUGGGAUCUCCCCAGCAUAGCAGGCGGACCCUCGGCUGGACUGCACCAAAGGACUUCGUCUCUGCGUUGGUAGCUAUAUCCCCUCUCUCUCUCUCUCUAUCUUUUUCUCUCCCUUAAUCCCUCUAUUGCAUUUUUGCUGUAGUUAUUUCAAUAAAAUCACAUUUGAUUUGGUUAUCACUGCAAA